rnacentral:snRNA from 1 species
AUUUCUCGACCUUUUGGCUAAGAUCAAAGUGUAGUAUCUGUACUUAUCAGCCUAAUAUCUGGGUGGACGUUAAGCUCCGUCUGAAAAAAAAAUAGGUGAUUACUCACAUUAAGAGCUGUGGAAACAACAAUGUGUAAAAUAAGACCGCUUGUUUUUUACCCCUCAAGGUGAUCUUACUAUUA